rnacentral:rRNA from 1 species
GACGAACGCUGGCGGCGUGCCUAACACAUGCAAGUCGAACGGAAAGGCCCUGCGUUUGUGCGGUUAUCGAUUGCCGAACGCGGGCGUGACACGUGAGUAACCUGCCCUUGUCUUUCGGGUAACUUCACGAAACUGGGGCUAAUACCGGAUAGCAUCUCCUGCACCGUGGUGGGGAGUGGAAAGUUUCGGCUGGUGGGGAUGGACGGGCGGCUUAUGGGCUUGCUGGUGGGGUAGUGGCUUACCAAGGCUUUGAAGGGUAGCCGGCCUGGGAGGGUGACCGGGGACCAUGGGACUGAGGGAGGGACCAGACGGCUACGGGAGGCAGCAGUGGGGAAUAUGACACAAUGGGCGGAAGCCUGUGACAGCAACGUUGGGUGCGGGAAGACGGCCUUUGGGUUGAGAACCGCUGUCGCCUGUUACGAAGCGGUAGUGACGGUAAUGAGUAAAGAAGCACCGGCUAACUACGUG